rnacentral:lncRNA from 1 species
GAUACACCAAUUCAGAUUUUAUGUUUGUCAUUGAUGGUAGAAUGUCUACAUCAUGGGGUGUGUUUCUAUGUCGAUAUUUUGGAAGGGUUCCAAAUAAUCGAUCGAUAGAAGCUGAGUACACUAUAGAUAUGUAGGAUGCAUUCUGAUUCUAAUAUUAGUUGCAGAGCUAGAUGUCAUGCCAUCAAAUGUCAUGACACUAUACUACAAAGAUAAUGGCACCAUAGCCUUUGCUAAGGAGCCUAAGUCUCACUAGAUAUCUAAGCACAUAGAGCAGC